GAUAAUUCCUUUCAGAAAUAUUUGUUUCCUGGAGAUUGGAGGUGAAACCCUGGCCCCACUGACACUAGUGACAAAGUAAUUGAUGGCUUCAAAGGGUCCAAAAUAUUGGAACAUCCCACAGCCUAUUGAGCUCUCCUGUACUGCAGGCUGUGUGCCAGUGUGCCAGGAUCUUCUUGAAGAGAGAGAUGACUCAAGGUUACUCCUUGAGGUUGAGAGAUUCCUUACCUCUGACAGAUACUGGCAGUGA
rnacentral:lncRNA from 1 species